GACGAACGCUGGCGGCGUGCUUAACACAUGCAAGUCGAACGAAGUGGCGAACGGGUGAGUAAUACGUGGGUAACCUGCCCUCCUUUUUGGGAUAAGCCUUGGAAACGGGGUCUAAUACCGAAUACAGGGUGAUGGGCUCGCGGCCUAUCGGCUUGUUGGUGGGGUGAUGGCCUACCAAGGCGGUGACGGGUAGCCGGGCUGAGAGGGUGACCGGCGACAUUGGGGCUGAGAGACGGCCCAGACUGCUACGGGAGGGAGCAGUGGGGGAUAUGGCACAAGGGGCGAAAGGCUGAGGCAGGGAAGCCGAGAGGGGGAUGAAGGCUUUCGGGUUGUAAACCUGUGUCGAUAUAGAACGGGUAGGUGGAGAAGAAGCGCCGGCUAACUACGUGCCAGCAGCCGCGGUAAUAC
rnacentral:rRNA from 1 species